CUCCUGCUCUUCAGUAAGAUAUGUUUGUAUUUUUUGUGGGGGUGAGUUAUAUUUAAGGUCCGAUGAUCUGUUGUUGCUUUGAUAAAUGUGCAUGAUGAAAUUGGUAGAUUUGAUGAUUAUAUAAUUAAUUUGAGGUUGUUAAUUAAUGAAGCCACUUUGUGGAUUUGACCUUAUGAUAUCUGUUUUUGUGCGUUCAGCUUGUUUUUAACUCAAUUGUGCUGAUGCUACUGUUAACGAUCGGUAAUUGAGUAACAUCUACUAUUAAACAGAAGCAGGUCACCAAAAAUACAUCACAAAUUAUAUAGCCAGUGCAUACAUUCAAAUCCCCAAGCACUCUAACCGAAAGCUGCACCAAUUUUCCAUGAUAGGUUCCGAGUUUUCGCCCGAUUCUUUAACCACAAGCACCCAAAUGUUUUCUGAUCUUCGUAACCACAUACGGUUUUAGCGUUUGGACCGGCCUCCUCACAACCUACAAACCUAUGCCAUGAAAGUGUGUGUGCGCGAGAGCUUCUUUUGUUACAAGAUUCCAUGGCUGUUCCAUCUUCCAUUCAUUGUUGGUUGGAAUCGGUGAUCUCGGAAAUUUUAGGAUACCGUGGUUUUCCCCUCACAAAAGAUGAUGGAAUUCACGGUCUCAUCGGAAGAGGUCAAAACAUGUUAAACUCAUAAAUGCAUACUCGUCAAACUCUGAUUUAUGUAGAAGUAUGGGUGCUUGCAUUUUUGAAGCUUCCAGCACAAUUUCGACAUUUCAUUCUUCCAUGUAUACCAGGGAUUACAUUCAAGAUGACGUUGUGGUCGUCAUCAAAAAGAUCUCCAACAUGCAUUUUGACCAGGAUUUAGAGGAAGGGGCUCUUAAAAUAUUAUUUUUCAUUAGCAAGAGCAUGAAGGCCCCAAAACGGAUUAUUCAAAUCUGGUUCCCCGAGGAUGUACACCCACCGAAGUGGGCCAUCGAAAGAAUCGAAAAGCAUGCAACAAAGAAGGGGUUUGAGAGCUUCAUACCUGCGCAAGACUCAAGUUUAAGGUAUGCCCCUUACAGGGGGGUAAACGCCUUUAUUUUAGAAGAACGCUUAAUAAAGAUGAUGAAGAAGAUGACGCUAAAGCUAAAGCUAAAGCUAAAGCUACUGAAUAUGAAGUGCGUGAUGAUGAUGAAGAAGAUGACGCUACUAAUGGUGCGUGAGUUGAGUGUGAUGCUUGAUUUCUGUAUGGAUGUAUGGAUCGAAUGUGUUUCAGUGUAACUUUUUUACUUUGUACUAUUUUCAUGUUCAAUGAAAGUGUGUCAAGUUAGAUAUAAUUAAAAAAACAUAUUUUAGAAGCAUCAAUUCAUUUUUUGCCUCUUUUGUCGUAUGUGUCAUGGGACAACACUUAG
rnacentral:lncRNA from 1 species